rnacentral:rRNA from 1 species
AGGACGAACGCUGGCGGCGUGCUUAACACAUGCAAGUCGAGCGAACCUUCGGGUUAGCGGCGAACGGGUGAGUAACACGUGGGCAACCUGCCCCGAGCUCUGGGAUAACCCCGGGAAACCGGGGCUAAUACCGGAUAUGACCCGAGAAGACAUCUUUUGUGGUGGAAAGAAUUUCGGCUAGGGAUGAGCUCGCGGCCUAUCAGCUUGUUGGUGGGUAACGCCUACCAAGGCGACGACGGGUAGCC